GUCUUAUUAGCUCAAUGGUAGAGCAAAAAUAUUUAUAAUAUUUUGAUCCUAGUUCGAAUCUAGGAUAAGAAU